rnacentral:rRNA from 1 species
GAUGAACGCUGGCGGCGUGCCUAAUACAUGCAAGUCGAGCGAACGGACGAGACGCUUGUUUCUUUGAUGUUAGCGGCGGACGGGUGAGUAACACGUGGAUAACCUACCUAUCAGACUGGGAUAAUUUCGGGAAUCCGGAGCUAAUACCGGAUAAUCUUUUGAACCGUAUGGUUCAAAGGUAAAAGACGGUCUUGCUGUCACUUCUAGAUGGAUCCGCGCUGCAUUAGCUAGUUGGUAAGGUAACGGCUUACCAAGGCAACGAUGCAUAGACGACCUGAGAGAGUGGUCGACCACACUGGAACUGAGACACGGUCCAGACUCCUACGGGAGGCAGCAGUAGGGAAUGUUCCGCAAUGGGCGAAAGCCUGACGGAGCAACGCCGCGUGUGUGAUGAAGAUCUUCGGAUCGUAAAACUCUGUUAUUAGGGAAGAACAGAUGUGUAAGUAACUGUGCACAGCGUGACGGUACCUAAUCAGAAAGCCACGGCUAACUACGUG